GACUUCAUAGAUGUAUAAUAAAACUUCAACAGCACUAGCCUUGCUGUAAACCAUGGAUGUAUUUGUUCGUGACAAAAAAAGCAACCAACGGCGAAGAUAUGCUCCAAAAACUGAAGCAGUAUUAAAUGCUAAAAUUGUUAAUACCAUGGUUAAUUCGUGUCGACCAUUAAUUUAUUUAUGAUUUAUGUGGAAAACGAGUCAUCAUUCAGUAGGAAGCUUUAGACUAAAAUCACUGGAGUCUAAACUGUGUUUUGGGCAAUUUUUGGUGAGAAAGUGAUACUUAAUGCGAUAUAUAACUACGACUUGGCAGGUAAAGUUAUUACUAAGAUUUUACAAAUAUUUUCUAACUUUUUAUAUUGAUAGGCACAUUCAUAUGUCGUCAUUCAGAGAAAUAUGACUUUUCUGGCCUUUUGCUGGUCUUUUGGGAAGUUUUACGAAGAUUAAAAUAAAAAAAAAAGACUAAAAAUAAUAAUACACAUUCAAAUAAUAAUUGACUUUGUUUAUAGCUGGAGGUGUCCUGUCAACAAUUUUACUGGUAUCUCUUUUACAAUGGUUGCCUAUGGGGAAAAUGUUUUGGGCCGCGGGGACUUUUUCAUUGCAGUAUCGCGAGUGGCCACUGGAAAAAAAUGGCUGCAAGGCUGAACGGCGGCACCGUAUCCAGUUCUUACAAUACAUCCAUGUCCAAACCUUAUCGGUAUCCUACCUUCCCCGUGAAUGUAUUAUAAGAGCAAUUAGAGGCUAUUGCUAGACAGAACAGAACCAGCUGUUCUUUUCUGCCAGUGUUAGCUGGCGUAUGUCGUCAUUGGCGGCGACGUGUCUCGUCAUUGGCCAGUACUUUCCAGAGGCACAGAGAGGCGGAGAAACGAGGUCGGGCAAACUGAUUAUAAGCAACCUUUGAACCAUUGCAUCGGUUUGUCAGUACUGUGAGGAAACCUAAUUACCGAAGAAGCCUGGAAGCUAAAACAAGCAUUGGAGCUGCUUUUUUGUCGAACACGAAUGAGACUGGACGCUGAAUACACCUGCAUUGCAAAGGUCUACUUGUUCAGCUGCUGCAGCUUGGACAGAGACACCAACAUCACCUUACAGACCAACAGAGACGGUGUCCACGAUCACAGAGACCUCGUCCAUGAUCAGAGACAUUGUCCCUGACUCGUAGAGACCUGUUCAACAAUUGACAGAGACUGGGGUCACCGAUACGAUGGCAUUGCCUGUGAUCAGAGAGACAUCGUCCAAACCUUGGUGUCAUCACUUCGUCCACGACAUCGUCCAUGAUCGGAGAGACAUUUUUGAGGAUGGAGACAAUGUCCAUGAUCAGAAUCAAAAAAUGUCAUAGUAUGGUAAGGCCUUAAAAACUGUGAAAAAAUUUCAUAAAGGCAUAAAAA